rnacentral:rRNA from 1 species
AUUGAACGCUGGCGGCAGGCCUAACACAUGCAAGUCGAGCGGAGCGGCGGACGGGUGAGUAAUGCCUAGGAAUCUGCCUGGUAGUGGGGGCUAACGUCCGGAAACGGGCGCUAAUACCGUAUACUAUCAGAUGGGCCUAGGUCGGAUUCGCUAGGUGGUGGGGUAAAGGCCUACCAAGGCGACGGUCCGUAACUGGUCUGAGAGGCUGAUCAGUCACACGGGAACUGAGACACGGGCCGGACUCCUACGGGAGGCAGCAGUAGGGAAUAGUGGACAAUGGGCGAAAGCCUGAGCCAGCCAGGCCGCGUGUGUGAAGAAGGUCUUCGGAUUGUAAAGCACUGUAAGUUGGGAGGCGUUACCAACAGAAUAAGCACCGGCUAACUUCGUGCCAGCCGCGGUAAUUC